rnacentral:rRNA from 1 species
CCCCGCAAGGGGUGGGUGGCGAGUGGCGGACGGGUGAGGAAUACAUCGGAAUCUACCUUGUCGUGGGGGAUAACGUAGGGAAACUUACGCUAAUACCGCAUACGACCUACGGGUGAAAGCGGCGGACCGCAAGGCGUCGCGCGAUUGGAUGAGCCGAUGUCCGAUUAGCUAGUUGGCGGGGUAAAGGCCCACCAAGGCGACGAUCGGUAGCUGGUCUGAGAGGAUGAUCAGCCACACUGGAACUGAGACACGGUCCAGACUCCUACGGGAGGCAGCAGUGGGGAAUAUUGGACAAUGGGCGCAAGCCUGAUCCAGCCAUGCCGCGUGUGUGAAGAAGGCCUUCGGGUUGUAAAGCACUUUUGUCCGGAAAGAAAAGCAUUCGGUUAAUACCCGGGUGUCCUGACGGUACCGGAAGAAUAAGCACCGGCUAACUUCGUGCCAGCAGCCGCGGUAAUACGAAGGGUGCAAGCGUUACUCGGAAUUACUGGGCGUAAAGCGUGCGUAGGUGGUGAGUUAAGUCUGUCGUGAAAGCCCCGGGCUCAACCUGGGAAUGGCGAUGGAUACUGGCUCGCUAGAGUGCGGUAGAGGAGAGUGGAAUUCCCGGUGUAGCAGUGAAAUGCGUAGAGAUCGGGAGGAACAUCAGUUGCGAAGGCGGCUCUCUGGACCAGCACUGACACUGAGGCACGAAAGCGUAGGGAGCAAACAGGAUUAGAUACCCUGGUAGUCCACGCCCUAAACGAUGCGAACUGGACGUUGGGAGCAACUAGGCUCUCAGUGUCGAAGCUAACGCGUUAAG